GAGGCUCAGGAGUUUGUAGAUGGCUCUGUCGCAUGAGGCUUGGGAGGGACCAAAGAGGAAAGGAAAGGGAGGAAAAUAGACCCCUCCCAGAGGCUAACCACUCCAUUUGAAAAGGCGGAGGGUUCUCAUAGCUGGAGCCUUGAGGAGAGUGAGAGAAUACAUUGCCUGGUGCUGCAGCCACCCAGACGAAGACCUUCAUUCAGGCGGACAGCAUCUGGCGAUCCUAUCUCUCCAGGAGACUCCAUCCACCGCUAAGGAUUCAAGGGGCUAUGCGUUCGAGGCCCUGAGAGUCACGAUCCCACUCAAGGCUGUCACCCUCACAAGUUUUAUCAAGGAACCACUACCUUGAUUUUGAGUACCUACUGUGUACUAGAAAAACUGUUAAUAGUUAUCAGUUUUCCUACCGGUCUAUCCUACUGUGUGCUCUCAGAAGAGGCCAGGCUAUUGAUACACAGGGCCACCAGACUCUGUCUCUGAAACAUCAAGCGGGAAAUGGAGUAACUGAAGGUCACUGAAGUUGAUCAAGAUCACCCCAGCUAAUUACACCACCAGGACCACGGGUUGUGGUAAUCUUCAAGUAGGUGUUGAUUGUCUCCCGUUACUCUGAACACUAGAGGGAACACACAGUUCGGCCUUAGAAGCCCUCUGUCAGCUGCACGGACUCCGUGGGCUCUGAGAAGUGAUCAAAGCCCCACAGGUUCCCCCAGAAGAUCCAACCUUUCCAAAUACCUGCUGCAUUGCCAACUGCCGGGCCAGAAUCCACACGGGAUGAGUGGCAGCCACCCCUCCUCUCUGCUGUCUCUUGAGCCCCUUCCCUGCGGCAAACCCUGAUUGAAGACCCUCCAUGCACUGGCUCUGAUUUUCAAAGGUCUAGGGGGCAAGCAUUGCAAGUGUGUGGAGAUACGCUGCCGAAACCCUGCUGCCCCUUCAGAUUUACCACCAUCCCUGACACCUGCCCCAGGACGGACUACCGCAGGGCCGACAGAGCAUGCACAGUCUCUUGGGAUCCCUCUACAGCUCAAGGCUUCCACCAACCCAGCAGAAACACGCAGACGUUGUUCCACC
rnacentral:lncRNA from 1 species